UACAUGUGGGGCAAGCGUUGUUCGGAAUUACUGGGCAUAAGGGGUGCGUAGGUGGCUUGUUAAGUCAGGGGUGAAAGUUUUCGGCCCAACCGGAAAAUGGCCUUUGAUACUGGCGAGCUCGAGUGCGUGAGGGGUAACCGGAACGAGCAGUGUAGCGGUGAAAUGCGCAGAUAUCAGGAGGAACACCGAUGGCGAAGGCAGCUCGCUGGGACGGUACUGACGCUGAGGCGCGAAAGCGUGGGGAGCAAACAGG
rnacentral:rRNA from 1 species